rnacentral:rRNA from 1 species
UACGGAGGGAGCUAGCGUUAUUCGGAAUUACUGGGCGUAAAGCGCACGUAGGCGGCUUUGUAAGUUAGAGGUGAAAGCCUGGAGCUCAACUCCAGAAUUGCCUUUAAGACUGCAUCGCUCGAAUCCAGGAGAGGUGAGUGGAAUUCCGAGUGUAGAGGUGAAAUUCGUAGAUAUUCGGAAGAACACCAGUGGCGAAGGCGGCUCACUGGACUGGUAUUGACGCUGAGGUGCGAAAGCGUGGGGAGCAAACGGG